UACGUAGGGUGCAAGCGUUAAUCGGAAUUACUGGGCGUAAAGCGUGCGUAGGCGGCUAUGUAAGACAGAUGUGAAAUCCCUGGGCUUAACCUAGGAACUGCAUUUGUGACUGCAUUGCUAGAGUGUGGUAGAGGGAGAUGGAAUUCCGCGUGUAGCAGUGAAAUGCGUAGAUAUGCGGAGGAACACCGAUGGCGAAGGCAAUCCCCCUGGGCCUGCACUGACGCUCAUGCACGAAAGCGUGGGGGAGCAAACAGGG
rnacentral:rRNA from 1 species